UACCAUCUGAAUACAGUAUUUCUCAGUAUCAGUUUGGCCUCUUUCUCUGAGGAGAUUACUUAGUGACUGUCAGCAGAUUUAGUGUGACACAUUUCAGUUUACAUUUCUGUUACUCUCUUUUGUAGUAUCUUAAGUGGGUGCCGUUAAUAAAAAUAGCACAGCUUGCUCUCAUAUGCUGAACACUGACUGCUGCGUGGAGAUAAAGCACUCUCUGCCAGUCCCCAGAAUAAUAGUGCAUUGAGCAUUUUCUGUUUUACAGUUUCUGCAGAAGCAUCAGUGUUUGCUCAUGGUGCUUUCUGAAUCUUCUGAAGAGCCUGGUUGGACAAAAUGACCGAUGUUUUAGAAUUGGGUGGAUCUAUAAUUGUAACAUUUAGUCACAUGUUUUGAGUUUGUUCGUGGUUUGGUUUUUUUAACACADCUUGAAUAUGAUAAAAUGGUUGAAGAAAAAGAUGCAGAGUUAAAAUAUAUAAAAUGAAACAGCAAAAGCAGUUAUCACCAGCAAGAGCACUGGAAAAUAAGCUGUCAUGUUUGAAAAGUGAACUGUCAUCCCUUAAGGAACAACUGAAAGCAGAAAUUGAAGAAAAGGAGAAUCUUGUAAAAGAGCACUCUUGAAAUAUGAUUCAUGAAAAUGAAA